UUUAAAUAGUCAUAAGUUUUCGUGCCAACUUUCAUUGUCCAUCUUAUUUGAAAUAAUUUUAAAAACAAUAUUUUUGUUGUUAUUAGGUGAUAAAACAUGAAUAUCAUUUUAUAUGUGAUUUGUGUUUUUAUUGUUUUCAAAAAAAUAAAUAAGACAAACGGUUAAAGUUGAACUUGGAAACUCAUAACUACGAAGAGA
rfam:Oryza nivara chromosome 3, whole genome shotgun sequence.